rnacentral:rRNA from 1 species
AUUGAACGCUGGCGGCAGGCCUAACACAUGCAAGUCGAACGGUAACAGGAAACAGCUUGCUGUUUCGCUGACGAGUGGCGGACGGGUGAGUAAUGUCUGGGAAACUGCCUGAUGGAGGGGGAUAACUACUGGAAACGGUAGCUAAUACCGCAUAACGUCGCAAGACCAAAGAGGGGGACCUUCGGGCCUCUUGCCAUCGGAUGUGCCCAGAUGGGAUUAGCUAGUAGGUGGGGUAACGGCUCACCUAGGCGACGAUCCCUAGCUGGUCUGAGAGGAUGACCAGUCACACUGGAACUGAGACACGGUCCAGACUCCUACGGGAGGCAGCAGUGGGGAAUAUUGCACAAUGGGCGCAAGCCUGAUGCAGCCAUGCCGCGUGUAUGAAGAAGGCCUUCGGGUUGUAAAGUACUUUCAGCGGGGAGGAAGGGAGUAAAGUUAAUACCUUUACUCAUUGACGUUACCCGCAGAAGAAGCACCGGCUAACUCCGUG